UGAGAAGUGGGAGGCCCAGGACAGACAGGCUGGCUGCUUGGUUGACCGAUGUGCCGCUCUCCUUGCCCUGGCUGAUCGCCACCCUGGACCUGUCCCUAGAGGAGCCCUUCAGCUCCCACACUGCCAGUUGAGGCCUGGCGGGAGGCUGGUGACUGUGGAAGCUCCGUCACUGCCUCUCGUCACUACCCUCCCCAGCCCCUGCCUCCUGGAGCCUGAAGGCUUUGGUUAGCUUUUGAGGGCAGGGUAGGCUCUGCUGAGCUGCACACUGUCCAGGUACGAAGCUGCACAGGGUGGGGUGAGGCCUCAGGACGCCUGGGCCCAGCUUUCCCUCCACUGCCUUUUCUUUCAUUCUGCCCCUCCUGGCAGGGCUCUGCCAGCUCUGGGGCCCCUGUUAUUGAUCCUCUUGUACUGAGAGAGGUGCCUUUUGUAUCCCCAAUUAAAGGUAGAAAACCCCCGCUA